rfam:Oryza sativa (indica cultivar-group) chromosome 8, whole genome shotgun sequence.
UAUAAGUGCAACCAUGAGUUUUUAUGCCUAACUUUGUUCGUUUGUCUUAUUUAAAAUUUUUUUAUAAUUAGUAUUUUUAUUGUUAUGAGAUGAUAAAACAUGAGUAGCACUUUACACGUGACUUAUGUUUUACAUUUUUUUUAUUUUUUUUAAAUAAGGCGGACGAUCAAAGUUGUGCACGGAAAAUCAUGGCUGCACUUAAA